UUGGUCUUCCGAAACAAAUGGAUGUGUGAUAGCAGCCUUACACGCUUUCUUUCUUCUGAUUCCUAUUUAAUUAUUUCAGAAUCAGAAAUGUUUAUGCCAAGCGGAUGAUAAAUGAAAUAUCUUGUACCUCAUGAAAUGGCAACAGACAGAAUGGCUUACCCUAAAGAUAAUCAAAUAAAUAUCUAAUAUGACUACUCUACAAGGAAUAAUGACAUGUCCCCCCCCAUUUGUGUUCGUGCAGUGCAACUGGUAACACAUCCCGCUAGCAGUUGGAAGAUUAUAAUUUGAAUCACGAAUUGUACAUCUUACUGUGGAGACUAUUAAAUAGCAGCCAGAUAUAAAAGAUGGCACUACCAGAUCUCUUUCUCUCGUCCAGUAAGGAAGAUAAUUUCUGAAUGGCCCUCGACAGAAGGCCCAAUAGCGGCCGAGCGGCAAAAAAAGCUACUAAACACUUAUAGUACAGCCCGGGGUUCGAGUCCUGGUGAACGAGCUGGCUGCAUGGGCGUUCUUGUGAUUUUUCCCAUGUGGAUAUGAGCCAGUUUCCCUUAAUAAGUUCUCCACAAGGCAUCCUUCCCUUUUCACGUGGUGCCAAAAGGCGAAGUACAUAAUAAAUAAAUAAUAAAUGAAGACAGUCGACAGAUCAUCUCUGGAAGCCAUCGAAUUAACCUCGCUCAUAUCGUCCAAGGGAAGCAUCGUCAUCAGACGUGAGGGAAUUAACCUCGCGUAGUACCGGCUGAUUUUCCUGUUAUCUAACAUGCUUGUUAUUAAUGUGGAUUGCCGCCUGCGAUUAUUCUUUGGUAGUGUAGAGGGACUUAUAUCUGAUGUUUGCUUUUGUUAUCUGUGUAUAUAUGUGAUAAAAUUGUAUAUUUUCUAAUCUCAUUUAAAAUAAUAGUUGUAAAAUGCAGGCAGAUCAUCUUUAUCUCUGCACGAACACAUGCCUCUGCAGAAUGAUGACUCUACCAAAAUAAAACGCAGUACUGUCAUUCAAAAUCCAACAACACGGAAAUUCUGAAAAUAGCUCAAGUAAAACUUGAGAUAGAAAUAGAAACACUGGUGACAUUUGGCGAUUUCUCGCCUACUUGAUGAGUUUCAAGAAAUUUCAGGAAAAACGCAUUUUCGAGCUCCAGGAGCUAUUUUCCCCGAAGCUUUUUGCACAAUAGCAGGCCUGUUGUCGGUGAGUAUUCUAGACAGUGAGUAUUCUAGACUGUCAGCCGCUCACAUACAAAUUAAAAUUGGUAGCCCUUUUUUACAGAAACAUAAUAUAUUUUAUAAUCAUUUCGCUGCCCUUAAAUUUGGCCGCCUCACGUGCUGUGCACCAUCUUGCCCCACUCUAGGAUCGGUCCUGGUGCAGAGAGCAGAUAGCACCGUAUGAAAACGGCUCCGAUAACCAGUAGUCAAACAGUUAUUCAUUAGGUCCGUGUGAUUUCAGAGAAAUUGAGGUUCAAAUAGAGUUAGAUGAACUGUUUUGAUAAUUCUACUGUGUUUUCUUCUAAAAGUGCCUAUAGCUUAUUCUUUACGCCUUUCAAUUUUUGAACUAUACUCUUAAUUUUUACCUGCUUUCUUUUAGAUUUAUUAACACUUUAUUUUUCGAAGUUAAGCUAGGCUUAACGGGCGAUGUUUGUUUACAACUGAACUUUUGAGUGUAAACGUAUUGUGUGCGCCAUUUUGAUGUCUUUCUAUUCGUUGAUGAACUCUAGAGUUUUGUUUGCUCUGUGAGUGAUUUUGUUAAUCUAUGACAUUUCUUGUAUAUUAAGUAGAAUUUGCUUAUUUUCUGCCUUCUCCUAGAGUUAUUUACAACUGUUACUUUUGUUGUGUACUGUGGUUAAUAAUAAUAAAUGUUCACGUUUUCUUCUCUCCAUCAGAG
rnacentral:lncRNA from 1 species